rnacentral:tRNA from 1 species
GGGCCGGUAGCUCAGUCGGUAGAGCAAGCGCCUCUUAAGCGCAAGGUCGCGGGUCCGAUCCCCGCCCGACCCA